GGCUCCCUACGGGGCGCAGCAGUGGGGGAUAUUGCACAAUGGGGGGAACCCUGAUGCAGCGACGCCGCGUGGGUGAAGAAGCGCCUCGGCGCGUAAAGCCCUGUCAGCAGGGAAGAAAGAAAUGACGGUACCUGACUAAGAAGCCCCGGCUAACUACGUGCCAGCAGCCGCGGUAAUACGUAGGGGGCAAGCGUUAUCCGGAUUUACUGGGUGUAAAGGGAGCGUAGACGGCAAUGCAAGUCUGGAGUGAAAGGCGGGGGCCCAACCCCCGGACUGCUCUGGAAACUGUAUAGCUGGAGUGCAGG
rnacentral:rRNA from 1 species